ACCCAUUAAACUCAAUACCCACUAAACUAACCCUAUAGACCCUCCUAGACAACCCUAAACCCCUUAACCCUGAACAAAAAAAAGAACCCUAUCCUACACAAAAACAGGGACGCCACAGACCACCAUCAAAAAACCAUCGCUGCUCCUCCUUUUGCUUCAACACCAAUCAGCCGACCCCAAGCAACAAACUAGACGAACCCAGCCUUAUUCCGCCACAACCGACUCACCCCCACCUCCCUUCACUAACCAGCAGCUCCAUCCCACCAAAUCUCCAACCCUCAGCCGCCGUUUCCCACCAGCCACCGCCGACCUCACCCCUAAUAUCUCCUUUAAAAAAAAAAGAAAACGAACAGCAGAGAGGUGAAGAGAGGACAAAAUUAGCUGACACCCUCACCACCCAAAGACACACGCUCAGACGGACAAAGAACGAGAGUGAAAGGUGAUUGGAAUUUCAGUCCAAAAUCGAGUGAAUUCUUGGAAUUCAUUCAAAGUUUCAGGAGGAAAAGUACAACUAAAGAAUAUAAUGUUUCUUUGUGAGUUAGUUUGUGGGCUUGAAUUUUAGAAAGAAAAAUACAAAAUACAUACUACUGCUUCUUCUUUUUGAUUUCAAAAUGGGUUUCAAAAAAUAUAUAUGGAAUUUGGUUGAGCUGAGGGUGCUUCAAACUCGUUGUUGAUCGCCGUUCGAGGUUCCGUCUGAUUCGAGUUUUGGCCGUAACUAUUGCUUCGUCUCUUUUUGUGUAACUGCUGGAUUAUUGUUUGUUAAUCGAAGGCAAUCCCAGUUUGUUGUGGAUAUUAGGAAUCGGUCGCGGGAGUGGGAGAGGCGGAAGGCCCAUUAGCAAUUAAUUUUUUCAUGCUUAGGUAUUGGGCUCGGUCUAAUAAGAAUGAAAAAGCGAAAAACAAAACAAGAGCAUGAAGUAGAUCUUUCUUCUAUUUAGUCAUCUUUUAUUUUCUUUUAUAGUAUUCGUUAGGAGCAUGUUCUAGGCUGACCACACUCGGGUAGACAAAUCUUAGGUUUUCUUUAGUUUAUUUUUAUUUGAGGCGAGAGGUCGUUUCUCUUAGUUUAUUAUCCAGGGAAUGCCCUGCGAAAUUUGUAUAUAUUUUAUCCGGGGUAUGCCCCGAAGUAUUUGUAUUUGGAGGUCGAAAGUAGAACUCUUAGUACAUUUAUUCUUAUAUUCAUUUUUCAUUUUUCUUUUAUUAGGUGGGGACUACCUCGAGCCUCUUAUGUGUUUAUUUCUCUUUUCUGUGUUUAUUUUUACCUCAAUUUGAAUA